rnacentral:rRNA from 1 species
UGCGCAGGCGGGCUUGUAAGUCAGUGGUGAAAUACUGUCGCUUAACGGUAGAACUGCCAUUGAUACUGCGAGUCUUGAAUAUGGUUGAGGUAGGCGGAAUGUGUUGUGUAGCGGUGAAAUGCAUAGAUAUGACACAGAACGCCGAUUGCGAAGGCAGCUUACUAAGCCAUUAUUGACGCUGAGGCACGAAAGCGUGGGGAGCGAACAGGAUUAGAUACCCUGGUAGUCC